CAUUUUUAUAAUUUUAAGUACCACACCACAACUAAAAUACCUAUCUAGGUACCUAAUUUAAUUAAUUGUAAUUCACUAAGAGUCAAACAAAAAUACUGCGCGAUGGUGACGACCGUCACAGCCUCAGAGUAAGAAAUUUCUUACUUUGAGGCCACAGCGGUGACAUCUGCGAGAUUGCACAGUGUAGCCGACGCGGCGGGCAAGAUUACCAAUGUUGCCAAUGCUUGCAUGUACUUCAGUUUUUUUCAGUGAAUUUAUUUUGUUUCUUUUAUUUUAUGUGGUGCUGAAUCGUUUUAUAGCGUCAGAUCUGGAUACCUCGUAUUAACAUUUUAUUUGGAUUGUGGACAUAUAGACACAAUUCUCUUAUUUGUGAAGUGUUUUUUGUUAUAUUGUAAUAGUCGCUGUUUUUUAAGAACGACAAAUUGAUUGAGAUCGUGCGAUAGAGCAUUGGAUAAAAAAUUGCAUUUCAUUCAAUGGUUAGAGUAUAAACCACAAAGGUGGUAGGUAGAACCCCAAGGUUGGACGAGUGGUCGUCAUAAUGUCGUGUAAAUGUCGAAACAUCGUCGUUUCGCUAUUAGUGUAACAGAAAAGUAAGGAGAGCUUUUCAGCGUAUUUCCAUCUUGACGAGCAGGCUUGCUUGGGGAAAGUGUCUGCAAUUAAUAUUCCAAUGGAAAAUAGUGGCGUAAAAUUUAAUUUAGCGAGUUCCCAACACAUUUACCUGUAGCAUCACAGCAUGUAGAAUACAAAAAAUAAACGGAAAUAAGUAUAAA